rnacentral:rRNA from 1 species
UACGGGGGGAACAAGCGUUGUUCGGAUUUACUGGGCGUAAAGGGCGCGUAGGCGGUCAGCACAAGUCAGUUGUGAAAUCUCCGGGCUUAACUCGGAAAGGUCAACUGAUACUGUGCGACUAGAGUGCGGAAGGGGCAACUGGAAUUCUUGGUGUAGCGGUGAAAUGCGUAGAUAUCAAGAGGAACACCUGCGGCGAAGGCGGGUUGCUGGGCCGACACUGACGCUGAGGCGCGAAAGCCAGGGGAGCGAACGGG